GACAGAGGUGCCAAGCGUUAGGCGGAAUCACUGGGCUUAAAGCGUGUGUAGGUGGAGCGUUAAGUGCCUUGUGAAAUCCCGCGGCUCAACCGCGGAACUGCUGGGCAUACUGGCGCUCUUGAGCCAAUCAGGGGUCGUCGGAACAAACGGUGGAGCGGUGAAAUGCGUAGAUAUCGUUUGGAACGCCGAAGGCGAAAGCAGACGACUGGGAUUGAGCUGACACUGAGACACGAAAGCCAGGGGAUCAAACAGG
rnacentral:rRNA from 1 species